rnacentral:rRNA from 1 species
UACGUAGGGUGCAAGCGUUGUCCGGAAUUAUUGGGCGUAAAGAGCUCGUAGGCGGUUUGUCGCGUCUGCUGUGAAAACCCGAGGCUCAACCUCGGGCCUGCAGUGGGUACGGGCAGACUAGAGUGCGGUAGGGGAGAUUGGAAUUCCUGGUGUAGCGGUGGAAUGCGCAGAUAUCAGGAGGAACACCGAUGGCGAAGGCAGGUCUCUGGGCAGUAACUGACGCUGAGGAGCGAAAGCGUGGGGAGCGAACAGG